rnacentral:rRNA from 1 species
AGUGAACGCUGGCGGUAGGCCUAACACAUGCAAGUCGAACGGCAGCACAGUAAGAGCUUGCUCUUACGGGUGGCGAGUGGCGGACGUGUGAGGAAUACAUCGGAAUCUACUUUUUCGUGGGGGAUAACGUAGGGAGACUUACGCUAAUACCGCAUACGACCUACGGGUGAAAGCGUGGGAUCUUCGGACCUUGCGCGAUUGAAUGAGCCGCUGUCGGAUUAGCUAGUUGGCGGGGUAAAUGCCCACCAAGGGGACGAUCCGUAGCUGGUCUGAGAGGAUGAUCAGCCACACUGGAACUGAGACACGGUCCAGACUCCUACGGGAGGCAGCAGUGGGGAAUAUUGGACAAUGGGCGCAAGCCUGAUCCAGCCAUACCGCGUGGGUGACGAAGGCCUUCGGGUUGUAAAGCCCUUUUGUUGGGAAAGAAAAGCAGCAGGUUAAUACCCCGCUGUUCUGACGGUACCCAAAGAAUAAGCACCGGCUAACUUCGUG